rnacentral:precursor_RNA from 1 species
CGGUGGCAGCGGGGGAGGCUGGGAGUGGGGACGGAAGACGGAAGCCAGAUGAACAUGUUCCGCCCGCUCUCCCACCGCCUUUCCCGCCC